AUUGAACGCUGGCGGCAGGCCUAACACAUGCAAGUCGAACGAGUGGCGGACGGGUGAGUAAUGUCUGGGAAACUGCCUGAUGUAGGGGGAUAACUACUGGAAACGGUAGCUAAUACCGCAUACCAUCGGAUGUGCCCAGAUGGGAUUAGCUAGUGGGUGGGGUAACGGCUCACCUAGGCGACGAUCCCUAGCUGGUCUGAGAGGAUGACCGGCCACACUGGAACUGAGACACGGUCCAGACUCCUACGGGAGGCAGCAGUAGGGAAUAUUGCACAAUGGGCGCAAGCCUGACGCAGCCAUGCCGCGUGUGUGAAGAAGGCCUUCGGGUUGUAAAGUACUUUCAGCGGGGAGGCGUUACCCGAAGAAGAAGCAACGGCUAACUACGUGCCAGCAGCCGCGGUAAUAC
rnacentral:rRNA from 1 species